GGCACACAGGUGAUUGAGGU
rnacentral:misc_RNA from 1 species